rnacentral:rRNA from 1 species
AAUAGAUACCCCGGUAGUCCACGCCGUAAACGAUGGAUACUAGCUGUUUGAGCGCAAGUUUGAGUGGCUAAGCGAAAGUGAUAAGUAUCCCACCUGGGGAGUACGGGCGCAAGCCUGAAACUCAAAGGAAUUGACGGGGGCCCGCACAAGCGGUGGAGCAUGUGGUUUAAUUCGAUGAUACGCGAAGAACCUUACCAGGGCUUAAAUGUAGAUUGACGUAUUUGGAAACAGAUAUUUCUUCGGACAAUUUACAAGGUGCUGCAUGGUUGUCGUCAGCUCGUGCCGUGAGGUGUCAGGUUAAGUCCUAUAACGAGCGCAACCCCUGUUGUUAGUUGCCAGCGAGUAAUGUCGGGAACUCUAGCAAGACUGCCAGUGUAAACUGUGAGGAAGGUGGGGAUGACGUCAAAUCAUCACGGCCCUUACGUCCUGGGCCACACACGUGCUACAAUGGCCGGUACAGAGAGCAGCCACUUAGCGAUAAGGAGCGAAUCUAUAAAGCCGGUCACAGUUCGGAUCGGAGU